GGUGCGAGGUGUGGGGGCGCUCGCCCUAUUGCUGCUGCCGCUGGGUCUAGGGUGGGCGGCCGGCCUCGCGGUCCGGCGGUCGCCUGAUCCUCACAGAAGCUGUCGGAGCUAGGCUGGCCAGUUCGGUAGACCCUAGGCACGGUGGCUGCCGAGCAUUGAAACGUAGGUAAUCUGAACUGAGAUGGGCUGUUAAGUGUGAAGAACACACUGGCUUUUAUGGGCUCAGUAAGUUAAAAUAAUGUGAAAUAUUUCAUUACUGAUUCUUAAAUAUUGAUGGUCUAUCAAAAUAAUAGUGUUUUGGAUACAUUGUGUUAAAUGACUUGUUUUGAAAUUAGAAAAUGUAAAAUUA
rnacentral:lncRNA from 1 species